AGAGUUUGAUCAUGGCUCAGAAUGAACGCUGGCGGCGUGCUUAACACAUGCAAGUCGAACGAUGAAUCCUAGCUUGCUAGGAGGAUUAGUGGCGCACGGGUGAGUAAUAUAUAGGUAACGUGCCUCUUAGUCUGGGAUAGCCAUUGGAAACGAUGAUUAAUACUAGAUACUCCUUCUCUUUAUAAUGAGAGUUGGGAAAGUUUUUCGCUAAGAGAUCGGCCUAUUUCCCAUCAGCUAGUUGGUAGUGUAAGAGACUACCAAGGCAAUGACGGGUAGCGGGUUUGAGAGGAUGAUCCGCCACACUGGUACUGAGACACGGACCAGACUCCUACGGGAGGCAGCAGUGAGGAAUAUUGCACAAUGGAGGAAACUCUGAUGCAGCAACGCCGCGUGGAGGAUGACGCAUUUCGGUGUGUAAACUCCUUUUAUAUGUCAAGAAAAUGACGGUAGCAUAUGAAUAAGCACCGGCUAACUCCGUGCCAGCAGCCGCGGUAAUACGGAGGGUGCAAGCGUUAUUCGGAAUCACUGGGCGUAAAGGACGCGUAGGCGGGAAGCCAAGUCUGAUGUGAAAUCCUAUGGCUCAA
rnacentral:rRNA from 1 species